ACGAACGCUGGCGGCGUGCUUAACACAUGCAAGUCGAACGGAAAGGCCCUGCUUUUGUGGGGUGCUCGAGUGGCGAACGGGUGAGUAACACGUGAGUAACCUGCCCUUGACUUUGGGAUAACUUCAGGAAACUGGGGCUAAUACCGGAUAGGAGCUCCUGCUGCAUGGUGGGGGUUGGAAAGUUUCGGCGGUUGGGGAUGGACUCGCGGCUUAUCAGCUUGUUGGUGGGGUAGUGGCUUACCAAGGCUUUGACGGGUAGCCGGCCUGAGAGGGUGACCGGCCACAUUGGGACUGAGAUACGGCCCAGACUCCUACGGGAGGCAGCAGUGGGGAAUAUUGCACAAUGGGCGGAAGCCUGAUGCAGCAACGCCGCGUGCGGGAUGACGGCCUUCGGGUUGUAAACCGCUUUCGCCUGUGACGAAGCGUGAGUGUCGGUAAUGGGUAAAGAAGCACCGGCUAACUACGUG
rnacentral:rRNA from 1 species